rnacentral:rRNA from 1 species
AUUGAACGCUGGCGGCAGGCCUAACACAUGCAAGUCGAGCGGAUGAAGGGAGCUUGCUCCUGGAUUCAGCGGCGGACGGGUGAGUAAUGCCUAGGAAUCUGCCUGGUAGUGGGGGAUAACGUCCGGAAACGGGCGCUAAUACCGCAUACGUCCUGAGGGAGAAAGUGGGGGAUCUUCGGACCUCACGCUAUCAGAUGAGCCUAGGUCGGAUUAGCUAGUUGGUGGGGUAAAGGCCUACCAAGGCGACGAUCCGUAACUGGUCUGAGAGGAUGAUCAGUCACACUGGAACUGAGACACGGUCCAGUCUCCUACGGUAGGCAGCAGUUGGGAAUAUUGGACAAUGGGCGAAAGCCUGAUCCAGCCAUGCCGCGUGUGUGAAGAAGGUCUUCGGAUUGUAAAGCACUUUAAGUUGGGAGGAAGGGCAGUAAGUUAAUACCUUGCUGUUUUGACGUUACCAACAGAAUAAGCACCGGCUAACUUCGUG